UACCAAGUACCGUGAGGGAAAGUUGCAAAGCACUUUGAAGAGAGAGUUAAAGAGGACGUGAAACCGGUAAGGUGGAAACGGAUAGAGUCGGCGUAUCAUUCAAKUAUUCAGUUACAUUAUUUUUAUGUUGUGACCUCUGAGCUCCAGAUUGGGACAGAGGGAAUCAGCAUAAUUUUUUGUGGUGCAUUUACUUGAUUGGUGCUUGGGGAUGUUUGAGGCAGAUUUGUUUCCGUCGUUUUGAGGCCAGCUUGCUGGUACCCAAACGGUGUUAGCAUUUUUUGUCUUGGGCAUUUGAGUAUGGCUCACGUGYAUUUAUUGGACAGAUCUGAGUGUAAGUUACGGUCGCAUGCGACACGUGCUUUUCAAUUAGUUCGGUCCAGUUAAUGCUCUCGUACUCGUUCCCCAUGUAAAAGCCGGUCAUCUAUCCGACCCGUCUUGAAACACGGACCAAGGAGUUUAUCGUGUGCGCAAGUUUUUGGGUGUUAAAAACUUAAAAGCGAAAUGAAAGUAAAUGRCUCUUUAGAGUCUGAUGUGCGAUCUUGUAAAAAAGUGUAGCAUGGCCCCAUUCUAACUGUUUACAGUAGGGUGGCGGAAGAGCGUACGCGGUGAGACCCGAAAGAUGGUGAACUAUUCCUGAGCAGGACGAAGCCAGAGGAAACUCUGGUGGAAGUCCGAAGCGGUUCUGACGUGCAAAUCGAUCGUCUGACUUGGGUAUAGGGGCGAAAGACUAAUCGAACCAUCUAGUAGCUGGUUCCUUCCGAGGAA
rnacentral:rRNA from 1 species